rnacentral:rRNA from 1 species
UACACUCCUGCGGGAGGCAGCAGUGGGGAAUUUUGGACAAUGGGCGAAAGCCUGAUCCAGCAAUGCCGCGUGAGUGAAGAAGGCCUUCGGGUUGUAAAGCUCUUUUGUCAGGGAAGAAACGGUGAAAGCUAAUAUCUUUUGCUAAUGACGGUACCUGAAGAAUAAGCACCGGCUAACUACGUGCCAGCAGCCGCGGUAAUACGUAGGGUGCAAGCGUUAAUCGGAAUUACUGGGCGUAAAGCGUGCGCAGGCGGUUUUGUAAGUCUGAUGUGAAAUCCCCGGGCUCAACCUGGGAAUUGCAUUGGAGACUGCAAGGCUAGAAUCUGGCAGAGGGGGGUAGAAUUCCACGUGUAGCAGUGAAAUGCGUAGAUAUGUGGAGGAACACCGAUGGCGAAGGCAGCCCCCUGGGUCAAGAUUGACGCUCAUGCACGAAAGCGUGGGGAGCAAACAGGAUUAGAAACCCUUGUAGUCCCAU